AGGAGCUAUGGGAUUAUGGACAGCUCCAGGGGGGAGCUGAGGGAAGAGAGCAGGAAGAGAGCAAUAGCCUGGUUUGAACUAAGGGAACUGCAGGAUUGCAGCUCCAGGUGUCGGGGCAUGGGGUCAGGUGAAGAAGGACAGCCUUAAAGACCUAAAGAUCAUGGCUGGGGUACCUCCGCCUCCAAGAGUAUCAGAGCGGUGCCAACACGCAAUGGUCACUUCCUCAGACUCAGAGAAACAUUUACACUGACCAAAGGGGAAACUCACCUAAUUGCUGCUGGUGAAUGGGGUAGUGAGUGAUCAGUGAGCCAGAAGACAUAUGAGCUCUCACGAGUUGCAGCUUAUUUUCUCAAUAUGCUAUGCCAUCUGAAGACCCAAUCUGAAGACCCAGGGGCCUCACCAGAUGGAAGCCCCGGGAAAUGACUCCAUCAGUCAGUGGCCAGCCUGAACCUGAAGCCUGCCAACAGGCAAGAGUGAACCUAAAAGAGGGUCUUCUAGGGUCUGCCAGCAGCCAGGCUGUGUG